rnacentral:lncRNA from 1 species
UUUUUUUGGGCUCUGCCACUAUGUGGCUUGUCAGACAACAAAUUCCUGCUAGCCCAUUGCAGUGUGGAGGAAGACUAAUGAACUUUUGCUAUUUUUGAUUUCCGCGUGACGAUACAUAUGUUGUCCACCUACCUUGAUACUGAGGCUCUUGGAGUUUGCGUUUGGGGAGUAUGUAUGCUCUUUGCUCAAAUAGGUGGCAUACAUAAGUUCGUGGAGGGUGCCCCUACGUAGAAGAAACUUGCUCCGUUUGCACAAGUUCAUGGCUGGUGUGGAGGGAUGGAUGCUUGCAUAGAGCUUAGGUUGCAGGGGGGGUACCCAAACUCGCAGCUUGCCCAUGAGUUAAGGCUUGUGCAGGGAGCAUUGCCUACUAGUUUACACAGGUACGUUGUCACUUUGCAUAACCAAAGUCGAACUUGUGCAGGCUUGCCCAAGCCCUUCUUUAUGCAAAUGCAACUUACUCAGGGGUAUCCUUGUGUAGGCAUGGGCAAGGUGGUUCUGCGAGUUUUUCUCCUUCAAACUUGCAUCCCUUUUCUAGCUGGAUAUAUAUAUCUUCCCUAUUCUCCUCGAUACCCUUAGAGAUUCCCUUCUAUUUAGGUUUUAAGCUUAGACUGCCUUUGAGAACCUAUAAAAUAACAAUAAAAACAAUCAAAUACAAAUGAAUAAGGCGGCAUUAGUGACAAGAACCGGUAAUAGAUAAGCUUUAAGCCACUCAAACACACUACAACGGGUUAUUUAGAGUCUAUUCGAGUACUAGUUUGGGUCCUUAUCAAGAGGUAGAAACAUAAAUUGAUUUUAAUUUACUUGAGAGAUCAAACAUGUUGGGUUUUUCCUCAUGUGAAAGGCCCAAAUUAAGAGCCCAAAAUUUAAGGUCUCUUAUUAGGCCUUUAUAUAAAAGGGUUAGAAGAAGAAUCCCUCUUCUUCUUCUUCUUCUUCUUCCAACUUUUUUUUUUGCAGCCACCAGAGAUAGAAGAAAAAGAGAGUAGAAGGAGAAAAGAGAGAGAAGGGGAGAACCACCAUUUUUUGAAGUUAAAGAGAAAAACUUAGUUUUUUUUUUCACUGUCCAGACUUCAUCAAAGGUUCAAUCCUGCUUCUUCUAUGGGCCGAUCGACCUGAAAUUUGGAGGAGAGGUUUGUGACUCAUUGAUCUUCAAUCUGAACGGUGAAGAUCGGAUUUGGAGUUCCG